CGAGACCUCAGGUCAGACGGUACCCGCUGAGUUAAGCAUUUAUAAGCGGGGAAAAAGAAACUAACAAGGUUCUUACGAGCC
rnacentral:rRNA from 1 species